rnacentral:rRNA from 1 species
GACGAACGCUGGCGGCGUGCUUAACACAUGCAAGUCGAACGGUGAAGCGCCUUCCUUUUUGGUGGGUGUGGAUGAGUGGCGAACGGGUGAGUAACACGUGAGUAACCUGCCCCCUUCUUCUGGAUAACCGCAUGAAAGUGUGGCUAAUACGGGAUAUUCUGGGUCUGUCGCAUGAUGGGUCUGGGAAAGAUAUUGUUUCGGUGGGGGAUGGGCUCGCGGCCUAUCAGCUUGUUGGUGGGGUGAUGGCCUACCAAGGCGGUGACGGGUUGCCGGCCUGAGAGGGUGGACGGUCACACUGGGACUGAGACACGGCCCAGACUCCUACGGGAGGCAGCAGUGGGGAAUAUUGCACAAUGGGCGCAAGCCUGAUGCAGCGACGCCGCGUGAGGGAUGGAGGCCUUCGGGUUGUGAACCUCUUUCGCCAGUGAAGCAGGCCUGCCUCGUUUGUGGGUGGGUUGACGGUAGCUGGAUAAGAAGCGCCGGCUAACUACGUG